rnacentral:rRNA from 1 species
CCUACGACGGGUAGCUGGUCUGAGAGGACGGUCAGCCACAUUGGGACUGAGACACGGCCCAGACUCGUACGGGAGGCGGCACGCGGGAAUAUNCGGCAAUGNGCGAGAGCGUGACCGAGCGACACCGCGUGAGCGACGAAGGCCUUCGAGUCGUAGAGCUCUUUUAUUUGGGAAGAAUGCAUAGUAAUAUGUUUGACGGUACCAUUUGAAUAAGCACGAGCUAACUACGUGACAGCAGCUGAGGUAAUACGUAGGGGGCAAGAGUAAUCCGGAAUCACAUGGGCGUAAAGGGUCCGCAGGUGUCCCGUUAAGUUAGAUGUUAAAUCGCAAGGCUCACCUUUGCGGCUGCAUCUUAUACUGACAGGAUAGAGGAUAGGUGACGGAAGUGGAAUUCCGGGUGGAGAGGUAAAAUCCGUAGAUAUCAGGAGGAACACCCGUUGCGUAGGCGGCUUCCGAACCUAUUCCUUGACACUCAGGGUCGAAAGCUAGGGGAGCAAACAGGAUUAGAUACCCUGGGUAGUACUAGCUGUAAACGAUGAAUACUAGAUAGUGGGUGCUACNCCGUACUCACCGUCGUAGCUUACGCGUAAAGUAUUUCGCACUGGGAACUACGAUCGCAAGUGUGAAACUCAAAGGAAUUGACGGGUCCCAGCACAAGCAGCGAGGCAUGUGGCUUAAUUCGAUGCAACACGAAGAACCUUACCUGGACUUGACAUGUUUCUGAAAGGCACGGAGAAACCCGGUCCCUUCCAGUUUACUGGAACAGUUUCACAGGUGGUGCAUGGUUGUCGUCAGCUCGUGUCGUGAGAUGUAAGGUUAAGUCCUUAAACGAGCGUAACCUUUGUCAUUAGUUGCCACCGGUUCGACCGAGCACUCUAAUGAGGCCGCUAGCGACAAGCUAGAGGAAGAUGGAGAUGACGUCAAAUCCUCACGUCCCUUAUGUCCAGGGCCGCACACAUGCGACAAUGGUAGAGACAGCGGGUUGCGACGGGGUACCCUGAGCUAAUCCAUAAACUCUGCCUCAGUACAGAUCGAGGGCUGAAAUUCGACCUCGUGAAGAUGGAGUUGCUAG